rnacentral:tRNA from 1 species
CGGCGUGUAGCUCAGUAGGAGAGCGCCGGGCUUGAGACCCGGAGGGCGCAGGGGCAGGACCUGCCACGUCGG